rnacentral:rRNA from 1 species
UACGUAGGGUGCGAGCGUUAAUCGGAAUUACUGGGCGUAAAGCGCACGCAGGCGGUUGGUUAAGUCAGAUGUGAAAGCCCCGGGCUCAACCUGGGAAUUGCAUUCAAAACUGGCCAACUAGAAUACGGGAGAGGGGGGUAGAAUUCCAAGUGUAGCGGUGAAAUGCGUAGAUAUUCGGAGGAACACCAGUGGCGAAGGCGGCUCACUGGUCCAUUACUGACGCUGAGGUGCGAAAGCGUGGGGAGCAAACAGG